UGACGUUGAUGUUGAGUGUCGAGGGUUGAAGACAGUGGACAGCAACAGUGACUCAUCAGAAUCAAAUGAAAACAGUAUUGAGGUCGAAACCAAAUCAAAAGAGAAAUCAAUUGAGAAGUCAUCAAAAGUGAAAAAGCAUUCAACAGAAACAUCACUCGAAGACUCUCCCGACGAGCACGGCAAGUCAACAGACACAUCAUUCGAUGUAUCUUCAAAUGAACUCCAUGAUUCAAGAGCCCGGCACUAACCAGGAAUAAAACUUCUGAAAAGCCGCACUUGGUGUCAACUCCAGACCUCAUUCUGAUUAACGAAGAUCAGUUAUUGUAUUUUACUCGAUCAUAUAUUAAAGUAAGGGGACCUGAGGUUCCUACUUGUACAUUUCAUUGUUACUGGGAUAUUCUAUAGUUUGUAAAUGUUCUGUUCUUCAUUGUAUGUUGUUGUCUUGCAUUCUGUGGAUCAUAUUAAAAUUGUAAAGAAAACAUUUUCCGACAUUGCUCCAAGUGUUGUUUCUCAUUUCACUUAUUGGAUGGCAGUUUAGAUGCACACAGCAUUUUGGCCCAGAUUUCAAAUGGAGAUUUUUCUCAAUUAAUAUCUUAACUGAACGAGAAAUUACAUGCCAGGUAUAUGGCA